CAGUAGCCACGGGAAUACAGAGGAUGCAAGCGUUAUCCGGAAUGAUUGGGCGUAAAGGGCGCGUAGGCGGGCGAAUAAGUCAGGGGUGAAAUCCCAAGGCUCAACCUUGGAACUGCCUUUGAUACUGUUUGUCUUGAGUUCGAGAGAGGUAAGUGGAACUGCGAGUGUAGAGGUGAAAUUCGUAGAUAUUCGCAAGAACACCAGUGGCGAAGGCGGCUUACUGGCUCGAAGCUGGCGCUGAGGCGCGAAAGCGUGGGGAGCAAACAGGAUUAGAUACCCCUGUAGUCCCUGUCUCUUAUAC
rnacentral:rRNA from 1 species